rnacentral:rRNA from 1 species
UGCCAGCCGCCGCGGUAACACGAACCGUACGAACGUUAUUCGGAAUCACUGGGCUUAAAGAGUGCGUAGGCGGCUUUACAGGUGGGGUGUGAAAGCCCACGGCUCAACCGUGGAAUUGCGCCCCAAACCGUAAGGCUUGAGGGAGAUAGAGGUGAGCGGAACUGAUGGUGGAGCGGUGAAAUGCGUUGAUAUCAUCAGGAACACCAGUGGCGAAGGCGGCUUUCUGGACCGAUACUGACGCUGAGACGCGAAAGCGUGGGGAGCAAACAGGAUUAGAUA